rnacentral:tRNA from 1 species
UCCUUGACAGUAUUAGGGUAUAAGGAGUUUCCAUCUCUUAGGUUACAAGGAA